CGUCGUUUUGGAGAGAACUCAACAACACAAACACUUGGGGCAGCGCUGCACUGUUCCCGCGGGCCCUUACCAACACAUGCUGAGAACAGAGAGACAUGGACAGAGCUCCAGCGCUUACGACACGUGAGAGGACAUUUGGCAUUGACGUCAAAACUGGUGUGCCGCGUCUGAAUAUGCACAUGUGGAAAUGAUGUUCAAGAUCUACUGCUGUAGUACCUUAAUAUUAAGUAAAAACCUUUUUUUUUGGAAAAUGUCCUUAUAUAAAGCUACUGUACAACUCUAAAAGACAUUAAAUGCUGUGCAUGAGUAGUACUGACUACUUUAAAUUGUACUGUAUUUUUGCAAAAUAAAUAAAUGUAGUCCUUCUGAGCAGCAGAGACUUCUUUCAAAAACAUCUUACCAACCCUAAACCCCACUUUGAAUGAUAUGCUUGCAUUGAAUGAAAAGGAGCAGCUUGAACAUUAUUCAAAAGAUUUCUUUUCAUGUUCCACAAACUCCUACAGGUUCAGAUUGACACGAGGGAGAGUAAACGAUGCAAGAACUAUUCCUUUAACAGGGUAUAAAGCGUCUGCAGUCUCUGCUCAGUCUGUGUGUGGUUUCAGUGGGCUGUUAAUGAAGUAAAAGUGAGUUUGAAGUCCGUUUGGUAUUCCUCUCAUUACUGCCCAUUCGUUGACCCAUCCGCCCGGUGAUGUGUCUGUAAUUUAUCAAGGCCUCUGAAGGCUGUAAUGAUUCAGGCUUUUUAAUAUCCCUGCACUGCAGUCCUCCAAAUUUAGAGGUAGAAAGUGUGUGAGAGAGUGAGAGUGAGAGAGUGUGUGUGUGUGUGUGUGUGUACUCAGCAUGUUUUUUUUUGCUCGCCUCACAAAGGCGCCCCUAAAUUUAUCCUGACAGUCUCUGGGGAAAUGCCUGGAGAACAGUGCUUAUAACCACAGAGGGGCAUGCAGAGCAUACAACUAGAACAAGAGCAGCCGAGACAUUUCUCUAGAACAAAACCUGUCACGGGACGUUAAACUUCCAGUGAUUUUGACAGGUCAAAAGUACACAACACUUCCCUGAGAGCACAAGUAGACUACCAUUACUAAGACAGAAUAUAAAAAGCCAGUUUGAUUCCCACAAAAUCUUAUUUUCUGAAAAAUAAGUGUUGCUUGCCCUUGUAAAACUCACAGCUGUGGUUGCUAGGGUGUAGUGAGUCAUUGCCAGGGAGUUGCUAUGCUAUUGCUAAGGUUUUCUGAGCAAUUUUAAGUGCAUUAUGUGGUUGCCAGGUAGUUGCUAUGCUGUUGCUUAGGUCCUUUGAGUAAUUUUAAGUGUGUUAUGUGGUUGCUAGGGUGUUCUGAGUUGUUGCUAAGGAGUUGUUAUGAUGUUGCAAAGGUCCUCUGAAUAAUUUUAAGUGUGUUAUGUGGUUGCUAGGGUGUUCUGAGUUGUUGCUAAGGAGUUGUUAUGAUGUUGCAAAGGUCCUUUGAGUAAUUUUAAGUG